rnacentral:rRNA from 1 species
UACGUAGGGUGCGAGCGUUGUCCGGAAUUAUUGGGCGUAAAGAGCUCGUAGGCGGUCUGUUGCGUCCGCUGUGAAAACUCGGGGCUUAACCCCGAGCCUGCAGUGGAUACGGGCAGACUAGAGGUAGGUAGGGGAGAAUGGAAUUCCCGGUGUAGCGGUGAAAUGCGCAGAUAUCGGGAGGAACAUCGGUGGCGAAGGCGGCAUCCUGGACCGGUAUUGACGCUGAGGCGCGAAAGCCAGGGGAGCAAACGGG